GACGAACGCUGGCGGCGUGCCUAACACAUGCAAGUUGAGCGACGAACCAGGGCUUGCCCUGGGGCAAAGCAGCGAACGGGUGAGUAACACGUGGGUAACCUGCCCCGAUGAUCGGGACAACCCGAGGAAACUCGGGCUAAUACCGAAUGUGCUCGCCAGACACCAGUCCGGCGCGUAAAGGAAGCUUCGGCCUCCGCAUCGGGAGGGGCCCGCGGCCCAUUAGCUUGUUGGUGAGGUAACGGCUCACCAAGGCAACGAUGGGUAGCUGGUCUGAGAGGACGAUCAGCCACACUGGGACUGAGACACGGCCCAGACUCCUACGGGAGGCAGCAGUGGGGAAUCUUGCGCAAUGCGCGAAAGCGUGACGCAGCAACGCCGCGUGGGGGAAGAAGGCCUUCGGGUUGUAAACCCCUUUCAGGAGGGACGAAGGUUCGGCGGUGAAUAGCCGUCCGGACUGACGGUACCUCCACAAGAAGCCCCGGCUAACUACGUGCCAGCAGCCGCCGUAACAC
rnacentral:rRNA from 1 species